rnacentral:rRNA from 1 species
GGGUUGUGAGGUUAAGCGACUAAGCGUACACGGUGGAUGCCCUGGCAGUCAGAGGCGAUGAAGGACGUGCUAAUCUGCGAUAAGCGUCGGUAAGGUGAUAUGAACCGUUAUAACCGGCGAUUUCCGAAUGGGGAAACCCAGUGUGAUUCGUCACACUAUCAUUAACUGAAUCCAUAGGUUAAUGAGGCGAACCGGGGGAACUGAAACAUCUAAGUACCCCGAGGAAAAGAAAUCAACCGAGAUUCCCCCAGUAGCGGCGAGCGAACGGGGAGCAGCCCAGAGCCUGAAUCAGUGUGUGUGUUAGUGGAAGCGUCUGGAAAGGCGCGCGAUACAGGGUGACAGCCCCGUACACAAAAAUGCACAUGCUGUGAGCUCGAUGAGUAGGGCGGGACACGUGGUAUCCUGUCUGAAUAUGGGGGGACCAUCCUCCAAGGCUAAAUACUCCUGACUGACCGAUAGUGAACCAGUACCGUGAGGGAAAGGCGAAAAGAACCCCGGCGAGGGGAGUGAAAAAGAACCUGAAACCGUGUACGUACAAGCAGUGGGAGCACGCUUAGGCGUGUGACUGCGUACCUUUUGUAUAAUGGGUCAGCGACUUAUAUUCUGUAGCAAGGUUAACCGAAUAGGGGAGCCGAAGGGAAACCGAGUCUUAACUGGGCGUUAAGUUGCAGGGUAUAGACCCGAAACCCGGUGAUCUAGCCAUGGGCAGGUUGAAGGUUGGGUAACACUAACUGGAGGACCGAACCGACUAAUGUUGAAAAAUUAGCGGAUGACUUGUGGCUGGGGGUGAAAGGCCAAUCAAACCGGGAGAUAGCUGGUUCUCCCCGAAAGCUAUUUAGGUAGCGCCUCGUGAAUUCAUCUCCGGGGGUAGAGCACUGUUUCGGCAAGGGGGUCAUCCCGACUUACCAACCCGAUGCAAACUGCGAAUACCGGAGAAUGUUAUCACGGGAGACACACGGCGGGUGCUAACGUCCGUCGUGAAGAGGGAAACAACCCAGACCGCCAGCUAAGGUCCCAAAGUCAUGGUUAAGUGGGAAACGAUGUGGGAAGGCCCAGACAGCCAGGAUGUUGGCUUAGAAGCAGCCAUCAUUUAAAGAAAGCGUAAUAGCUCACUGGUCGAGUCGGCCUGCGCGGAAGAUGUAACGGGGCUAAACCAUGCACCGAAGCUGCGGCAGCGACGCUGAUGCGUUGUUGGGUAGGGGAGCGUUCUGUAAGCCUGCGAAGGUGUGCUGUGAGGCAUGCUGGAGGUAUCAGAAGUGCGAAUGCUGACAUAAGUAACGAUAAAGCGGGUGAAAAGCCCGCUCGCCGGAAGACCAAGGGUUCCUGUCCAACGUUAAUCGGGGCAGGGUGAGUCGACCCCUAAGGCGAGGCCGAAAGGCGUAGUCGAUGGGAAACAGGUUAAUAUUCCUGUACUUGGUGUUACUGCGAAGGGGGGACGGAGAAGGCUAUGUUGGCCGGGCGACGGUUGUCCCGGUUUAAGCGUGUAGGCUGGUUUUCCAGGCAAAUCCGGAAAAUCAAGGCUGAGGCGUGAUGACGAGGCACUACGGUGCUGAAGCAACAAAUGCCCUGCUUCCAGGAAAAGCCUCUAAGCAUCAGGUAACAUCAAAUCGUACCCCAAACCGACACAGGUGGUCAGGUAGAGAAUACCAAGGCGCUUGAGAGAACUCGGGUGAAGGAACUAGGCAAAAUGGUGCCGUAACUUCGGGAGAAGGCACGCUGAUACGUAGGUGAAGUCCCUCGCGGAUGGAGCUGAAAUCAGUCGAAGAUACCAGCUGGCUGCAACUGUUUAUUAAAAACACAGCACUGUGCAAACACGAAAGUGGACGUAUACGGUGUGACGCCUGCCCGGUGCCGGAAGGUUAAUUGAUGGGGUCAGCGCAAGCGAAGCUCUUGAUCGAAGCCCCGGUAAACGGCGGCCGUAACUAUAACGGUCCUAAGGUAGCGAAAUUCCUUGUCGGGUAAGUUCCGACCUGCACGAAUGGCGUAAUGAUGGCCAGGCUGUCUCCACCCGAGACUCAGUGAAAUUGAACUCGCUGUGAAGAUGCAGUGUACCCGCGGCAAGACGGAAAGACCCCGUGAACCUUUACUAUAGCUUGACACUGAACAUUGAGCCUUGAUGUGUAGGAUAGGUGGGAGGCUUUGAAGUGUGGACGCCAGUCUGCAUGGAGCCGACCUUGAAAUACCACCCUUUAAUGUUUGAUGUUCUAACGUGGACCCGUAAUCCGGGUUGCGGACAGUGUCUGGUGGGUAGUUUGACUGGGGCGGUCUCCUCCUAAAGAGUAACGGAGGAGCACGAAGGUUGGCUAAUCCUGGUCGGACAUCAGGAGGUUAGUGCAAUGGCAUAAGCCAGCUUGACUGCGAGCGUGACGGCGCGAGCAGGUGCGAAAGCAGGUCAUAGUGAUCCGGUGGUUCUGAAUGGAAGGGCCAUCGCUCAACGGAUAAAAGGUACUCCGGGGAUAACAGGCUGAUACCGCCCAAGAGUUCAUAUCGACGGCGGUGUUUGGCACCUCGAUGUCGGCUCAUCACAUCCUGGGGCUGAAGUAGGUCCCAAGGGUAUGGCUGUUCGCCAUUUAAAGUGGUACGCGAGCUGGGUUUAGAACGUCGUGAGACAGUUCGGUCCCUAUCUGCCGUGGGCGCUGGAGAAUUGAGGGGGGCUGCUCCUAGUACGAGAGGACCGGAGUGGACGCAUCACUGGUGUUCGGGUUGUCAUGCCAAUGGCACUGCCCGGUAGCUAAAUGCGGAAGAGAUAAGUGCUGAAAGCAUCUAAGCACGAAACUUGCCCCGAGAUGAGUUCUCCCUGACUCCUUGAGAGUCCUGAAGGAACGUUGAAGACGACGACGUUGAUAGGCCGGGUGUGUAAGCGCAGCGAUGCGUUGAGCUAACCGGUACUAAUGAACCGUGAGGCUUAACCUUACAACGCCGAAG